UACGGGGGGGGCAAGCGUUGUUCGGAAUUACUGGGCGUAAAGGCUCGUAGGCGGCCAACUAAGUCAGACGUGAAAUCCCUCGGCUUAACCGGGGAACUGCGUCUGAUACUGGAUGGCUUGAGUUCGGGAGAGGGAUGCGGAAUUCCAGGUGUAGCGGUGAAAUGCGUAGAUAUUGGGGAGGAACACCAGUGGCGAAAGCGCGUGACUGGGCCACAACUGACGCUGAGGAACGAAAGCCAGGGGAGCGAAAGGG
rnacentral:rRNA from 1 species